CUAAUUUCGAUUUAAUUGAUUCAACUGUCUGAGGAGAAGUGGCGGUUCACCCAACAGUUACAAUUACAACCCUUCACCAUACAAAAAGACACUUAGUGACAUCAAUGGCCCUCUAACACACGCUGGACCGUAUAACAACAUCUACAGAAUCACAGGAUUAUAAUUCUCUAGUGUUAUUUCCAGCCACAGUCCAGGAUUUACAGUGGUAGUCAUUGAAGCCCCUUGUUAUCUAACUAUCCUGGACUUGUGCUGACAGGUGAAAAAUAAAAACAUGUCUGUCUUAUAUGACUGGUCAUUGGGAUGGCUCAAAUAAUGGUAGAAUUUGUAAAAAAAAAAUCUACCUGUAAGAAUUCAGUACAAAGGUAAACAUGUACAACAUCAACAUCUGUCACUAGUUUAUAUUUACACUGAAUUAACAGAAGUGGAGAGUAGCCAUACAAAAAAAAAGGUAGAGUGUCCAUUUUAUGGCCACACGAAAUGUGAGAUUUAAUCUCUCUAAUGGCCACUCGGAAUAAACAUUGCUAGAUUUGGCUUAAGGUAGAAAAUCUGACCAAUUAUUUGAAUAAAUUUAUUUUUUCUCACAAUCAGAAGGUUCAUAUACAAUUAAUGUAUUUAUCCUUUAACACCCCCUGCCCCAGACCCCCCCCCCCACCCACCCACCCAGACACACAAACACGUACGCACACACACAGCCCCUACUUUGAGGCCUCAUUAAGUCUCAGCUCUACAGAGGAUGGAGGAUAAACUCUGCUUCUUGCCCGUUGGUCUUCGGGGUUCGAUUCUCAUUGCUGGUCUGACUUCAGCAGCGUGUUAAGGACUGAAGAAACAAACACAUAAGAAACAUUCAUGAUAAGGAUCAACAUUUGGUGCUACCUGUGCUUGUAUUCAACGUGUGUGUUUGUGUGUGUGUCAUACCCUGGGGAUCUGACUGAGCCUCUGCUGCAUCGGCUUUGCGUCCGGCUUCUGGAUCAGCUUCUAGUCACAGACGGAGAGAGAUUCAAUUCUAUGCAGAGUAUGGAUCCCUUUACAGUGUUCCUUGUGGCAAGUUGGACAGAGAUGGAUUUAUCCCACUUCUGUAAUUGUCCAGAACAGGAAGGUUCUGUCACACUGCCCGGCUCUGGUUGGGGGUCGUCAACUACAGGAGAAGGUUCUGGUGUGCUGUCAGGAUCCGGUUCGGGGUCGUCAACUACAGGUGAAGGUUCUGGUUGGGGGUCGUCAACCACAGAAGAUGGUUCUGGUGUGCUGUCAGGAUCCGGUUCGGGGUCGUCAACUACAGGAGAAGGUUCUGUCGCACUGUCAGGAUCCGGUUCGGGGUCGUCAACUACAGGAGAAGGUUCUGUCGCGCUGUCAGGAUCCGGUUCGGGGUCGUCAACUACAGGAGAAGGUUCUGUUGCGCUGUCAGGAUCCGGUUGGGGGUCGUCAACUACAGGAUCUGCUUUGACGUCAUCAGCUGCAGAAUCUGCUUCAGCAUCAUCAGCUACAGGAUCUGCUUCAGCAUCAUCAGCUACAGGAUCUGCUUCAGCAUCAUCAGCUACAGGAUCUGCUUCAGCAUCAUCAGCUGCAGGAUCUGCCUCGACGUCAUCAGCUGCAGAAUCUGCCUCGACGUCAUCAGCUGCAGAAUCUGCUUCAGCGUCAUCAGCUGCAGAAUCUGCUUCAGCGUCAUCAGCUGCAGAAUCUGCUUCAGCGUCAUCAGCUGCAGGUUCUGCAGGUGUUUCCUGUAUUCAGCAAAAUAUUUGA
rnacentral:lncRNA from 1 species